AUGUGCACCACCGAGAGCGGCGACGUCCUCUGCCUCACCUUCUGGGCCGCGCGCCCGCCGCUCCUCUCCUACUUCACCGUCCACCUCCCCGGCCUCCUCCCUGCCACCCCGCUCGACCGUCUGCCCCGCGUCCUCCGCACCCACGGCGAUGUCGCCCUCCUCCGCAUCCCCGUCGGCCCGAAAGGCAACGACUACUUUCUCUACAGCGCCAGCGCCCGCUUCAGCAUGGUCAUGCCCCUCCCCACCUGCCCGCUCACGGACGGUUCUAUCGGCCUUCUGCGCUGCCCGGGCCAAGACAGGCUCUUUGUCGCCGUUCUCCACAAGACCUUGGCCCGGGGGUACUACGCCGUCGACCUGUUGGAGUUCGACCACGGGUCGUGGACCUGGAGCACUCGUCUGAUGCAUGCCGAGUCGCCUCAGGAAUGUGACUUUGGCAUCCCGACCAAGUCCUUCGCCCUCCCGGGCUCGAUCUGCUGGGUCGACCAUGUGAAAGGCAUCCUUAUCUGUGAUCUGCUAGAUGGUGAUGAUGAAGUCCAUCGUUUCAUACGGUUCCCUGUGCUGGCGCCGCCCAAGAAGAAGAGAAUUGCAGGCUAUGAUCGGGAUGUUGCUGUCGGCUCGGAUGGCUGCAUCAGAUACAUGGAGGUGUGGGCUCAUCCCGUGCCUGGAUCAGACAAUGGCGUCACCUACACUCUGCAGGACUGGGGCGCCGCCAUAGAAAGAUGGCUGGAGCCCGAUAAGAAGUGGAUAAUCAGCCAUGAGCUCAAGGCAUCACAGAUUGCGGUGGACGACAGCCACUCUGGGUUGCUUCCUCGUGUCGAGGCUGCAAUGGAGAGUCCAAUCUUGAGUAGACUCCACGCAGGGCAUCCUUCUCUCAGCUUGCAUGACGAUGAUGUUGUUUACAUCAUGGCCAAGGUUGACCACAGGGACGAACAGUCGUGGAUGCUCUUGACAUGA
rnacentral:rRNA from 1 species